rnacentral:rRNA from 1 species
UACGGAGGUGGCAAGCGUUGUUCGGAAUUACUGGGCGUAAAGGGCGCGUAGGCGGCAUGGCAAGUCAGGUGUGAAAGCCCUAGGCUUAACCUGGGAAUUGCAUCUGAAACUGCUGUGCUUGAGUCCUGGAGAGGAUAGUGGAAUUCCCAGUGUAGCGGUGAAAUGCGUAGAUAUUGGGAGGAACACCGGUGGCGAAGGCGGCUAUCUGGACAGUGACUGACGCUGAGGCGCGAAAGCGUGGGGAGCAAACCGG